rnacentral:rRNA from 1 species
CAAUAGCGUAUAUUAAAGUUGUUGCAGUUAAAAAGCUCGUAGUUGGAUUUCUGGUGGGAGCGAUCGGUCUGGCGCUUAGCGCGAGUACUUGCAUCGUCUCCGGCCAUCCUUGGGGAAAGUCUGUCUGGCAUUAAGUUGUUGGGCAGAGGAUCCUCAUCGUUUACUGUGAAAAAAUUAGAGUGUUCAAAGCAGGCUUAUGCCGUUGAAUAUAUUAGCAUGGAAUAAUAAGAUAGGACUUUGGUACUAUUUUGUUGGUUUGCGCACCAAAGUAAUGAUUAAUAGGGACAGUUGGGGGUAUUCGUAUUCCGUUGUCAGAGGUGAAAUUCUUGGAUUUACGGAAGACGAACUACUGCGAAAGCAUUUACCAAGGAUGUUUUCAUUAA